AUUGAACGCUCGCGGCAGGCCUAACACAUGCAAGUCGAACGAGCGUCGGACGGGUGUGUAAUAUAUAGGGAAUGUCCGCUAUAGGGGGAUAACUCCUGGAAACGGUAGCUAAUAUCCCAUACUAUCGGAUAACCCAUAUGGGAUUAGCUAGUAGUGGAGGUAACGGCUCACCAAGGCGACGCUCCCUAGCUGGGGUGAGAGGAUGAUCCGCCACACUGGGACUGAGACACGGCCCAGACUCCUACGGAGGCAGCAGUGGGGAAUAUUGCACAAUGGGCGAAAGCCUGAUGCAGCCAUGCCGCGUGUAUGAAGAAGGCCCUAGGGUUGUAAAGUACUUUCAGUAGGGAGGCGUUACCGACAGAAGAAGCACCGGCUAACUCCGUGCCAGCAGCCGCGGUAAUAC
rnacentral:rRNA from 1 species